rnacentral:tRNA from 1 species
GAGAGGUGGCUGAGUGGUCGAAAGCGGCGGAUUGCUAAUCCGUUGUACGGAAAAUUAUCUGUACCCGGGGUUCAAAUCCCCGCCUCUC